ACGUAGGUGGCAAGCGUUAUCCGGAAUUACUGGGCGUAAAGGGCGUGUAGGCGGGAAUACAAGUCGGGAGUGCCCUCCCACGCCUUCCCCCUGGAGCUGCUUCCGAAACUGUCUUUCUUGAGUGUCGGAGAGGAAAGUGGAAUUCCCAGUGUAGCGGUGAAAUGCGUAGAGAUUGGGAGGAACACCAGUGGCGAAGGCGACUUUCUGGACGAGAACUGACGCUGAGGCGCGAAAGCGUGGGGAGCAAACAG
rnacentral:rRNA from 1 species